CAAGGAAAUCUGGAGUGGUUCAAUACCUCGUCUAGCCUGCUUUCAAGCCUGUGAUAUUCAGUGACAAACUCAUGGCUGCAUUUGUGCAACGGCACCGAAUGCCGUGCUGGCUAGGAGUGCUAUUUCUACACUAAAAUUGCCUUUCGAGCUGCAGGGAAGUUGCUCUCCUGCCUACAUAGGCUACAACUUUUUUUUGGACAGACACCCAACUGCAAAAAAAGUCUGUAAUGCAACAAACAGUUCAGGACGACUCCGUCUCCUUAACUAGGUCCCAUUCUGGAGGGUGAUGACAAAACUGCUCUGAAGAGGUCAGAAAAUACUUGGAGUUUGAUUGUAUGGGGUAAAGCAACAGCAAAAUAAGCUCCUUGGGCAAUGAAGUAAGGCAGAAGUGACGAAUUUGGAAGGCAAGGUGGAUAAUCAGUUGACAAGGAGCUCUCAAAGAUACGCUGGGCAAAGGUGCUAAUGUGAUUCUUGGCUGUAGAAACAGGGGACUAUUGAAUAGGAGAGCUAUUAUCUCUGUAGUUGGCACUAGUGUGAACGUUCCUGCACACGAUGUGCAAUACUGCUGUCCAUGCUUCAAGAAAGAUGCUGAAAAUUAAGAAGAUGCCAAGAAAACCCACAAGGAAUGAUUAAAACACCAGAAAACACACUAUUUAGUGAAGGACUGGAGGAGCUCAAUCUGUUUAGUUUAUCAAAAGUUGAGCACUGACCGAUGUAAGUACCUACCAAGGAACUGGCAAACGUACCUGAAGAAAGCUCUGCAAUCUAGCAGACAAAAAGUUAACUAGAACCACUGGCUGCAAGUUAAAGCUGGACAAAUGUAGGCUACAAAUAAAACACAAGCUUUUAAAUGAAGUAGCUAUCAACCACUGGAACAAUUUACCCAUGGCUGUGGUAGAUCCUGAAGUACUGGGAAUUUUAAAAUCCAGAUAGGCUGUUUUUCCAAAAAUUCAAGUAUAGCUAUUGAAUUUGCAGCAAGAAUUAAUAGAAGGAAGUCCAGAGGCCUGUGUUAAAUGGGAUGCCAGAGUAGAUGAUUACAAAGGUUACUCCUGGUUUUACAACCUACAAAGUGGGGAGAAGCUCAAUGACAUAACAGACAGAUGCUAAGAGUGAUUUAAGGGAAGAAGAAAGCCAGGGUUCAUUUCAAGUUAUACAGCCUUACUUUGAGCAUUCAGCAAAUGUAUUCAGAUAAUAGGAGGUCAAUUUGCCUUAAGACCCCCUCAACAAGCUGAAGUAAUGUUGGGUUAAAACAAUAAUUAAAUGGUAAAUUAUUUUGCACAAUUUAACGUAAACGUACCCAUUUUCAAAAGUGCGUAUGAAGUUUAUGUGCCCAUGCACAUGAAGUUACCACCACUUUUCAUGGAAAAAUUGAUCAUCUGCAACUGAAUCAAUCAACUAAUGCAAAGCUGGCUUCCUGACACCAGUCUAGCUAGAUCAUGCUACUGCUCAUGAUAAAUACCAUUUUCACAAAGAAUCAUGCAUACACACGCAAGAGAAAAGUCCAAGGAGCUUAUUAAAUCCCAAGCCACCAAGGCGGCAAAGGCUUGCCACAAAACAAUCCCAGUACAUGCAGGUUCUCCCAAGCUGUGCUGAUCUUUGGUAAGAAGCCAGCACAGUCCAUCAACACGAUGAAAAGGGUACGGAGACAUCCUGGGCUUGGGACCUCCGUGUUGCAAAGACCAUUAUCUUCUGAAAAACUCUGGUUAGCCGUUUACCUCUUCUGGGAGAUUCCAACUAAUGGAAAACACUGCCUUGGGAACAAGAAAUCUGCACUUUAGAUGCAGAUGUUCAGAAUCCGGGCCGUUGGGUUCCCAUUGUCAGAUAAGGACUUGUUGCCACCUAGUGGAUUAUCACUGACAAAGGCACACGUUUGGGCAGCAGAUGCACUAAUUACCACUAGAUGGAGUCUAAAAAACAAACCACUGCUUCUUGUGCAAGGAGAAGGAUUUUAAGAGUCCCAAAGCCAAGAUUUCAAGCAGCCUAAGUGAGUUAAGCACAGAUAAUUACAUUAAUUGAACAGGAUUUGGGAACCUGACUCCCUCAGGCUCCUGAGAAAAUCCCGGCCUGAGAGAGUGGGAGAGCAUCUGUACACAGCGCCCUGUGCAUAGGGAGUACGGGGGGUGGGGGGUUGACAAUACUAGCACAGAUAAGCCACUAAAAAAUAUCUUGAGAGUAUGGGAAAAUUAUGCUGGUAAAGAAAUAAUGCUGUUCUUUAUUUCACCAUCUACUCCAGGGGUGGCCAACCUGCGGCAUGCAUGCCACAAGUGAUACAGCAGCCUGCGCAUGGCAUGCAGCAGACCGGGGAAGGGGGGGGACACCACAGUAGCUGAUAGUGCAGGGAGCAGAAAGCAGAGCAGCAGAUUGGACAUGGAGCACAGGAACAGAGUAGAAAGCAGAACCCAAAGGAUAGGGAUCGCAGUGGCACUCAGUGGGGAUGCAGGGCUAAGUUUUGGCAUCUCUGCCAAAAAAAAGUUGGGCCCCACUAACCUACUUUAUGGCCUUUGCUGGAGGAGAAGGGAGGGGAGGAAUCAAGGACACAACUGAUACAGCUACACCUGUAAAAAGUCUCAGCACAGGCUAGACCUAUGGUAUUUCUGUGGAAAAGGUAAGGAGAGGCAACAUCCUUAAUGGUCUUCUUCAGUAAAGAUUUAACUGCAUUGCUUUUCAGAGCUCCUACACUGAAGUAGUAUCAUUUGUCUGGCAAUCUCAGAUCAAAAAACAAAGUUGUCAGCAAUGAAGAAAUUCCACCUGGCCGUGCGGGACAAGAGAAA